rnacentral:rRNA from 1 species
GAUGAACGCUGGCGGCGUGCCUAAUACAUGCAAGUCGAGCGAACAGACGAGGAGCUUGCUCCUCUGACGUUAGCGGCGGACGGGUGAGUAACACGUGGAUAACCUACCUAUAAGACUGGGGUAACUUCGGGAAACCGGAGCUAAUACCGGAUAAUAUAUUGAACCGCAUGGUUCAAUAGUGAAAGACGGUUUUGCUUUCACUUAUAGAUGGAUCCGCGCCGCAUUAGCUAGUUGGUAAGGUAACGGCUUACCAAGGCGACGAUGCGUAGCCGACCUGAGAGGGUGAUCGGCCACACUGGAACUGAGACACGGUCCAGACUCCUACGGGAGGCAGCAGUAGGGAAUCUUCCGCAAUGGGCGAAAGCCUGACGGAGCAACGCCGCGUGAGUGAUGAAGGUCUUCGGAUCGUAAAACUCUGUUAUUAGGGAAGAACAAAUGUGUAAGUAACUAUGCACGUCUUGACGGUACCUAAUCAGAAAGCCACGGCUAACUACGUG